rnacentral:rRNA from 1 species
GACGAACGCUGGCGGCGUGCCUAAUACAUGCAAGUCGAACGCAUUUUCUUUCACCGUAGCUUGCUACACCGACAGAAACUGAGUGGCGAACGGGUGAGUAACACGUGGGUAACCUGCCCAUCAGCGGGGGAUAACACUUGGAAACAGGUGCUAAUACCGCAUAAUUCCAUUUACCGCAUGGUAGAUGGGUGAAAGGCGCUUUUGCGUCACUGAUGGAUGGACCCGCGGUGCAUUAGCUAGUUGGUGGGGUAACGGCCUACCAAGGCUGCGAUGCAUAGCCGACCUGAGAGGGUGAUCGGCCACACUGGGACUGAGACACGGCCCAGACUCCUACGGGAGGCAGCAGUAGGGAAUCUUCGGCAAUGGACGCAAGUCUGACCGAGCAACGCCGCGUGAGUGAAGAAGGUUUUCGGAUCGUAAAACUCUGUUGUUAGAGAAGAACAAGGAUGAGAGUGGAAAGUUCAUCCCUUGACGGUAUCUAACCAGAAAGCCACGGCUAACUACGUG